GCAUUUUAGGCUAUUGUAUACCUCCACCCUCAGUAUAACUUUUGAGAUUCAAAGACACUCAUUAAAGAAUCUCAUCUGGACCCUGGAGCUAGUGGAACACUGAGCAAGGAUGGGCUCUCAUCUCCAGCCUUCAGAACACUUGCCCAGCCUUUGCCUUUUUGGUCUUUGACUAACAGAGGAAGCAAAAAUAUUGUGAAGGAAAGCAUCAGCACUGAAUUCUAGCCAGCAGAUGGGCUGAGACCUGAUCCUAAAUCUCCAGUUCUGACAUGGAUACCAUGUAAGGAGGACUCUUUGGGACAUAGUGACUAUCAAGACCUAGAGGGAUGACACCAUAAGAUUGUGAAGCAGUGCAAUUAUUCAGGUUACCCAUGAGGAACUGCUGAGGAAUCUAAGAUCAUUGGAGCUCAAGCAGGCAGGAGCUCCUUGGCAACUGUGAUGAUGUUUUAAGACUCUGCAUGGCUGACCUACUUUGGAGGACCCUCAGGAGCUGUCAGGCUCUACUAAUAAGGCUUCACUGGCUGGAGUGCAACUAAUGGGAAGAAUGUUCGCUCAGCACGAGCAAAGCUCUAAGUUCCAUUCCCAGCACCAGAAGAAAUUAGACACCAACAAUAGCACUGACAGCAGCAGCAGCAGCAGCAGCAGCAGCAGCAGCAGCAACA